rnacentral:rRNA from 1 species
AGUGAACGCUGGCGGCAGGCCUAACACAUGCCAGUCGAGCGGCAGCGGGUCCUUCGGGAUGCCGGCGAGCGGCGGACGGGUGAGGAAUACAUCGGAAUCUGCCCUGUCGUGGGGGAUAACCUAGGGAAACUUAGGCUAAUACCGCAUACGACCUACGGGUGAAAGCGGGGGAUCGCAAGACCUCGCGCGACAGGAUGAGCCGAGGUCCGAUUAGCUAGUUGGCGGGGUAAAGGCCCACCAAGGCGACGAUCGGUAGCUGGUCUGAGAGGAUGAUCAGCCACACUGGGACUGAGACACGGCCCAGACUCCUACGGGAGGCAGCAGUGGGGAAUAUUGGACAAUGGGCGCAAGCAUGAUCCAGCCAUGCCGCGUGGGUGAAGAAGGCCUUCGGGUUGUAAAGCCCUUUUGUCCGGGAAGAAAUCGUCUGGGCUAAUACCCCGGGCGGAUGACGGUACCGGAAGAAUAAGCACCGGCUAACUUCGUG